CAGCUGUUGUCAAUGGUGAUGCAAAUAAAUGUUACCUAGCAACAACAUUUGCUUUGAACAAUUUCGGCGCUGCAAGUGCAGCAUGUGCUACUGUGGGAGGACGAUUGUUUGAGCCUAGGUCGACAGCAGAACUAAAUGCAGUACGAACUUCUCUUAUAGCCGCGACUAGUACGGUACCAUACUUCAUCGGAUAUUCCAACAUUAACAAUAAUGCACUAGCCCCAGUAGGGUUUUACACAGGUGGCGGACUUCCAGCUAAUCCUGGAGCAACUACUCCUACUUUUACUGGUCUUAAUUGUGUAACUGUUACUGUUACUGGAGUUUAUAUACCCGUAGCUAAUUGUGCUACUGCAACAGCUAAAGCUGCACUCUGUGAAGCGAUAUUGG